GAUGAACGCUGGCGGCGUGCCUAAUACAUGCAAGUCGAGCGAACGGACGAUAAGCUUGUUUGUCGGAUGUUAGCGGCGGACGGGUGUGUAACACGUGUAUACCCUACCUAUAAGACGGGUAUAUUUUCGGGAAACCGGAGCUAAUACCGGAUAAUAUUUUGAACCGCAUGGUGGAUUAGAGAGAGUCGGUCUUGCUGUCUCUUAUAGCUGCAUCCGCGCUGGUUGAGGUAGUUGUGAAGGUAACGGGUUACCAAGGCUACGAUGCAUAGCCGACCUGAGAGAGGGAUCGGCCACACUGGAACUGAGACACGGUCAAGAGGCCUACGGGAGGCAGCAGUAGGCAAUCUUCGGCAAUGGGCGGAAGCAUGACGGAGCAACGCCGCGUGAGUGAUGGAGAUCUUCGGAUCGUGAAGAUCUGUUAUUAGGGAAGAACAUAUGUGUAAGUAACCGUGGCCAUAUUGACGGUAACUAAUAAAGAAGCACCGGCUAACUACGUG
rnacentral:rRNA from 1 species